ACACUGCUGAAGAGUCCCACAAUAGAGCGAAACGACCGUCCAAUGC
rfam:Schistosoma curassoni strain Dakar, Senegal genome assembly, scaffold: SCTD_scaffold0000442